rnacentral:rRNA from 1 species
AUAUUUAUAUAGUAAUAAAUACUUAAAUAAAAAGUUCUUUAUGUUAUUUAAUUUAUGCAUUUUUAUAGAAGAUAAAAUUACUUUUUUUGUAAUACAAAAGUAGAUUUUUUAUUAAUUUUGGCGAAGCCUGUGCCAGCCGCCGCGGUUAUACAGGCAAGAUAAAAGUAUUAAAUUUAUUUAAUACUUUUAAAUUAAGUUUAUUAAAAUAUAGAGGUGAAAUUUUUAUUGGAAUUUAAAAAUAUUUUUUUAGAAAUUUCUUUAAAAAAUUAGGAUUAGAUACCCUAUUAUUGGAUAUGUUAAAUUGGGAGUCUUUUAUGCGUUAUAAAAUCAAAAGAUUUUGGCGGUAUUUUAAGCUUUUUAGAGGAAUUUAUUCUUUAAUUGAUACAACUCAAAUAUCUUACUUAAUUUAGUUAAUUCAGUUUGUAUAUCGCUAUCAUUAAGUUAUAUUAAUUAAUUAUAAUUGAGAUUAAUUGUUAUUAAAAAUGUUAGGUCAAAAUGCAGCAAAAAAUUAAGGUUGAAAUAAAUUACGUUUAUUAUUAUAGGUUAAUGUGAAAUUCUUUAUAGGAUUUAAUAGUAAAUUGGAAUUAUAAUGUUUAGUUGAAUAGAGCUCUAAAAUAUGCACAUAUCGCCCGUCACUCUCAAAAUAUGAGAUAAGUCGUAACAAAGUAAAGGUACCGGAAGGUGUUUU